rfam:Paenibacillus sp. FSL H7-0357, complete genome.
AACGAUAACGGCAAACCUAUCGAAAGGUAGGGACGCAAAGCUAAAGGGCCUUCCCGGGUAUGGAUGGCAGCCAGCUACCGAAA